CGGACUCACGGGAACGAUUUCCGGGUUUCCCUUCCUGGGCUGGGACAGCGGCGAGAGGCAAAAGCUCUUGUACUAUAACAGUUUUUCUCAGGUUCAUCAGACAUCCAGUAAAGAGCAGCAAUGUCUCAGUCUGGAGAAAAAGGGAAGUUCCCAGAUGCAGCGGGCUAUGUAGGAUUUGCCAAUCUUCCAAACCAAGUUCACAGAAAGUCUGUAAAAAAAGGGUUUGAAUUCACCCUCAUGGUUGUUGGUGAAUCUGGUUUGGGUAAAUCCACUCUUAUUAACAGCCUGUUUCUCACUGAUCUCUACCCUGAACGCUACAUCCCUGGUGCCGCAGAGAAAAUCGAGAGGACUGUGCAGAUUGAGGCUUCAACUGUGGAGAUCGAAGAACGAGGAGUAAAGCUUCGCCUUACCGUGGUCGACACCCCCGGAUAUGGCGACGCCAUCAACAGUCAGGACUGCUUCAAAACCAUCAUCCAGUACAUUGACAAUCAGUUUGAGAGAUACCUACAUGAUGAGAGUGGCCUAAACCGAAGACACAUCGUGGAUAACAGGGUGCACUGCUGCUUCUACUUCAUAUCCCCAUUUGGACACGGUUUAAAGCCUCUCGAUGUGGAGUUUAUGAAAGCCAUCCACAGUAAAGUCAAUAUUGUCCCAGUCAUUGCCAAGGCGGACACCCUGACUCUGAGGGAGAGGGACCGUCUGAAGAGGAGGAUCCUGGAUGAGAUCGCAGAGCACGGCAUCAAAAUUUAUCAGUUACCUGACGCUGACUCUGAUGAAGAUGAGGAGUUCAAGGAGCAGACCAGAGUCCUUAAGGCCAGCAUUCCCUUCGCUGUGAUUGGCUCCAACCAGCUGAUUGAGGUAAAGGGGAAGAAGAUCCGCGGUCGCCUCUAUCCGUGGGGAGUUGUAGAAGUGGAGAAUCCUGAGCACAAUGACUUCCUCAAACUGCGCACCAUGCUCGUAACCCACAUGCAAGACCUUCAGGAGGUCACCCAGGAUCUGCAUUAUGAGAACUUCCGCUCAGAGAGGCUGAAGAGAGCGGGCAGAGCUGUGGAUGAGGAUGUGAUGGAUAAGGACCAGAUCCUGCUACAGAAAGAGGCUGAGCUGAGACGCAUGCAGGAGAUGAUCGCUCAGAUGCAGGCACAGAUGAAGAUGAAGUCAGACGAGUGAAACAGUCCAAGGAGAAGGGAAUACACACACACGCACACACACACACACACACACACCUGGUCCUCCUGCUGGACCUGCCUCAGACCUGUAGUCCACCAGGAGUCCAGGACCAGGGUCCAUCCCUCUAAACAUCCCUCCACCUGCUCAUGUUGUCACUCACAGUAUGAGACUGGACAGAGUUUAAACAGCAGGAAAACAUUUCAGCAUGAGUUUGGAACCGCUGCCAAAUGACUCCAUCUGUGAGUGACGUCACACUAACCUGUUUACAGUCAUAUAAUGUAGGCAUUCUGCUCUGUACUCCUGUGUAGGCAUUAAACACCACCCUUUUUAUGUUCUUUUCUAUCAGGUAAGGUACUUAAAAUAAUCAACCUUUGUGCUUGUGGUGCUUUUUCUAUGGUCUUAUUCUGAGUAGUUGUGUAGCCCAACACCUGCACCUCUGGAUGGACUCAGACCACCGUUCAUCUGAUCCAAGGGGCUGCUUUAAUUGAACUCUAUAAAUAUCACCUAGUGCUAAAUGUUUGAAAGCGGGGGGUGGGGUGGGGGGGUCAAUUUUGCUCUGGGGGUUAAAUAUUCCACCACCAGGGCUCAACAGUGCCAUGUUUCUUGGAAUUUGUAUUAUUUAUUUGAAAAUCUGCAUGUGUCAAACCACCACUACAGACUGAUCAGCCAUCACCCCUGGGACUAAAUCUGUGAAUGUUUGUGUCGUUUCAUGAGUUCAGGGAACGACCUGUUGGUUCACUACUGGACUGUUCUGACAUCAGACUGCCUGCUUUGGAUUGAAAAAUCUGUUGAACCAAAUGUAUUCCAUCCAGUUUCAUGUUGGCAGGAGACUCAAAAUAAUACCUGUCUAAAGCCAUUUAAAUGUCACUACUGUCACGUCCUCUGUCUCUCUGCUCUCAUAUGCAAAUAAUGUCUGUUCACGUUAGGACAAACCUAAUAAUCUGUUAACAGAAUGUCAGAAAAGACUGGCUUAUAGGUGUCAACUUUUUUGUAUCUUUUGGAAAUAAAGUUUGUUCAGAGAAUUAAA